rnacentral:rRNA from 1 species
UACGUAGGGGGCAAGCGUUGUCCGGAUUUAUUGGGCGUAAAGAGCGUGUAGGCGGCUUUACAGGUCAGCUGUGAAAACUCGAGGCUCAACCUCGAGACGUCGGUUGAAACCGUAUGGCUAGAGUCCGGAAGAGGAGAGUGGAAUUCCCGGUGUAGCGGUGAAAUGCGCAGAUAUCGGGAAGAACACCUAUGGCGAAGGCAGCUCUCUGGGACGGUACUGACGCUGAGACGCGAAAGCGUGGGGAGCGAACAGG